rnacentral:rRNA from 1 species
UACGGAGGGUGCAAGCGUUAUCCGGAUUCACUGGGUUUAAAGGGUGCGUAGGUGGGCAAGUAAGUCAGUGGUGAAAUCUCCGGGCUUAACCCGGAAACUGCCAUUGAUACUAUUUGUCUUGAAUACUGUGGAGGUCAGCGGAAUAUGUCAUGUAGCGGUGAAACGCUUAGAUAUGACAUAGAACACCAAUUGCGAAGGCAGCUGGCUACACAAAUAUUGACACUGAGGCACGAAAGCGUGGGGAUCAAACAGG